UACUACAACGGUGUUAUAGCAAAACAUCACUAAAACAAUCGGCAGGUUGUGUACAUCCUGUGAACCUUUAAGGAUCCCCAGAAUAGGCUACAACAAUCCCAAAGGCAUGAGGUGGCUUGGGAAAGAGGGAUAAAAGCCAGAUCUCUCCAACUGAUUUCAAACCUGGCAGGUGUCUUGACAACUGCGUGGUCCCGAGUCGAAACAAGCGACACUUUCAACAGCUAGGUCCCAAAUUUAGGGACCGUUUCAGAAUGGCAAACUCAUGUCUCCAUCUCCAGACAGUAUCCACAGAUUUAAAAUGGAGCCAGCUUCAUCCAUUCCAGAGAUCCUUCGCAAGAUAAGGAAAGUUUCCUCAUGGAGCGGAGUUCCAGCAGGAUGGCCUGUAAAGUGUUCUUGCAGUUACACAUACAGCAGCUGGGCUUCUCUGUGCUGGCCACUGAAGUUUGAGGGAGUGCCAUGUCUGCACCAGUGAUUUAGUGCAGCAUGCUGCAUGCCUACUCAUCAUCAGCACAGACUUGUCACUCAUCAGCCAUCAGUGGUCACUGCAAGCAAAUGUGCUUGAGAAUUGAUGUAGACCAUAGGAAUGGAGCCUUUCUCUUACUUUCUCUGCACAACUUUAUACCAUAUACGGUUCAUACUGAAUAUAUUUAUUCUGUUUUUCUUAUAAUAUAUUACUGUUAAUACACUGCAUAUAUAUUAUUUUACUCUUAUAAUGUCACUGCUAUUACACUGCACAUAUCUGUUUUUGUUCAUAUACUACAUAAUUGUCCAUAUCUAUUCUUAUAAGGUUACUACUAAUAUACUGCACAUAUUUAUAGUUAAUUUAUAUUACUGUAAACCAUUCCAACUUCUUAAAUGUAUACUAUUGUCUACACUGCACAUAUAUAUCUUAUACUGUUUAUGCACCACCUGCCUAUACUGUG